CAGCCGCCCCACCGCUUGGGUACGGCAGCGCGCACGCCUUAUCCCCUGUUUCCCCACCGCUGAAAUCUUAUCCUCUCGUCGUCUCGUCUCGAUUCUUCCUCUCCCUCGCACUUUCCUCAUCUUCAUUCGCCAACGCAACAAGACGCUAGAGACGAUGCACGGCUGGGUCCUGCCGCGAUUCCCGCCGUCCGUGCGCUUCGAUGCUGCCGGCUGGGUCCUGCCGCGAUUCCCGCCGUCCGUGCGCUUCGAUGCUGCGCUGGAGGAGGCGCUGUCGUGCUCGCCUGCGCAAGGUGCGGGCUUUGCAAGGCAGGGCUCGCUGCUCUCCAAGGGGGGCAGGCAACAGCCACUGGUGACACCGUGUGUCACAACACACGUAUUUUCAACUUGUACACUGCAAAAGCACGCAACCGCACUCGUUUCUAUCCCCCCCUUCGCAAAUCCCCCCUUUUUGCCACUCCAGUAGCCCGGCCUCCCUGCCUCCGACCGCGCCUGGAGAGGAGCUCCAGCUGUGCCACGAGCAGGCCAGCCCAGGAGCUGUCACUUCCCCCUCUCUCCUUCUCUCUCUCGACUUUUACCUUCUUCUUCUCUCUGUUUCCAAUCUUUGUUUUCUAUAGGGAAGUCACCAUGGAACAACCCCGCCGCCUUGGAGCUCGGCCCGCCUCCGGCCGGCCACCUCUCCGUCGGCCUCGUGCUCCUCCGCCUCGAUCCGUCCGCCCCAUCGCCGUAUCCGCGCCGGAGCAGCCGGAUCCGCUGCCCAGACCACCAACCAAGAGCCGCCUCUUGCCUGUCCUACGGUCGAGAGGAGGACGACCGAGAGGAGCGCCCAUUGAUCCGCCGCCUGGGCCGCCUUGGAGCAUGCCCUGCCUCCGGCCGCCACCUCUCCGUCAGCCUCGCGCUACUCCGACAUGAUCCGUCUGCCCCACCGCCGGAUCCGCCGCCCAGACCACCAACCAAGCAUCGGCCCUUCCCUUUCCUGCGGUCGUGGGUUGAAUAAUAUAAACUGCAGGGUCCUUUUUUAAGAACAAAUCGUUUUUUAGAUUAGCCACUUUAAAAAAGGACCGCGGGUUGAAUACACAUACAUGGAGGGACUUUUUUGCAAAAUCGCCGACGACGUACCACCAGAAGCAAUCGCUACUUUAUUAGUAGGUAAAGAUAA